UAGGGAAUAUUGGACAAUGGGGGCAACCCUGAUCCAGCCAUGCCGCGUGAGUGAAGAAGGCCUUCGGGUUGUAAAGCUCUUUCGGACGGGAAGAAAUGGCGGGCUCUAACAUAGCCUGUCGAUGACGGUACCGUAAGAAGAAGCACCGGCUAACUACGUGCCAGCAGCCGCGGUAAUAAGUAGGGUGCGAGCGUUAAACGGAAUUACUGGGCGUAAAGCGUGCGCAGGCGGUUUUGUAAGACAGAUGUGAAAU
rnacentral:rRNA from 1 species